rnacentral:lncRNA from 1 species
CUAACUUCGUAAUUCAUUUAUCAUAUCAAAUGACAAUCACAUUGUUCAAGAUUAAAAGUAAUUAGAAUCCCCUAAGGAUCAAUCAUAAAGAUUUAGCCAAAUAUGUUCAAAUAAGAAAUUACAUUAACAUGAGUGAAAGAAAUCAUCAUUACAAGAAGGGAUCAGAUGUGUUUCCACCCUUGAAUCCUUGCUUGAAUGCCUCUUUGAUCCUCUGAAAUCGCCGUCAAAAAGCAGUUCUUGAUCCAGAAUUUCGU